ACUCAAAUGAAUUGACGGGGGCCCGCACAAGCGGCGGAGCAUGUGGCUUAAUUCGACGCAACGCGAAGAACCUUACCAAGGCUUGACAUAUACCGAAAACUCAUAGAGAUAUGGGGUCCGCAAGGGCGGUAUACAGGUGGUGCAUGGUUGUCGUCAGCUCGUGUCGUGAGAUGUUGGGUUAAGUCCCGCAACGAGCGCAACCCUCGUCCUAUGUUGCCAGCGAGUAAUGUCGGGGACUCAUAGGAGACUGCCGGGGUCAACUCGGAGGAAGGUGGGGAUGACGUCAAAUCAUCAUGCCCCUUAUGUCUUGGGCUGCACACAUGCUACAAUGGCCAGUACAAAGGGCUGCAAUACCGCAAGGUGGAGCUAAUCCCAAAAAGCUGGUCUCAGUUCGGAUUGGGGUCUGCAACUCGACCCCAUGAAGUCGGAGUCGCUAGUAAUCGCAGAUCAGCAACGCUGCGGUGAAUACGUUCCCGGGCCUUGUACACACCGCCCGU
rnacentral:rRNA from 1 species